UGGGGAAUAUUGCACAAUGGGCGCAAGCCUGAUGCAGCGACGCCGCGUGGGGGAUGACGGCCUUCGGGUUGUAAACCCCUUUCAGUAGGGACGAAGCGCAAGUGACGGUACCUACAGAAGAAGGACCGGCCAACUACGUGCCAGCAGCCGCGGUAAUACGUAGGGUCCGAGCGUUGUCCGGAAUUACUGGGCGUAAAGAGCUCGUAGGUGGUUUGUCGCGUUGUUCGUGAAAACUCACAGCUUAACUGUGGGCGUGCGGGCGAUACGGGCAGACUGGAGUACUGCAGGGGAGACUGGAAUUCCUGGUGUAGCGGUGGAAUGCGCAGAUAUCAGGAGGAACACCGGUGGCGAAGGCGGGUCUCUGGGCAGUAACUGACGCUGAGGAGCGAAAGCGUGGGGAGCGAACAGGAUUAGAUACCCCCGUAGUCC
rnacentral:rRNA from 1 species